rnacentral:rRNA from 1 species
GACGAACGCUGGCGGCGUGCUUAACACAUGCAAGUCGAACGGAAAGGCCCUGCUUUUGUGGGUUGCUCGAGUGGCGAACGGGUGAGUAACACGUGAGUAACCUGCCCUUGUCUUUGGGAUAUCUUCAGGAAACUGGGGCUAAUACCGGAUAGGAGCUCCUGCUGCAUGGUGGGGGUUGGAAAGUUUCGGCGGUUGGGGAUGGACUCGCGGCUUAUCAGCUUGUUGGUGGGGUAGUGGCUUACCAAGGCUUUGACGGGUAGCCGGCCUGAGAGGGUGACCGGCCACAUUGGGACUGAGAUACGGCCAAGAAGGCUACGGGAGGCAGCAGGGGGGAAUAUUGCAGAAUGGGCGGAAGCCUGAUGCAGCAACGCCGGGUGCGGGAUGACGGGCUUCGGGUUGUAAACCGCUGUCGCAUGUGACGAAGAGUGAGUGACGGUAAUGGGUAAAGAAGCACCGGCUAACUACGUG